rnacentral:rRNA from 1 species
UGCCAGCAGCCGCGGUAAUACGGAGGGUGCAAGCGUUAAUCGGAAUUACUGGGCGUAAAGCGUACGUAGGCGGCUUUUUAAGUCGGAUGUGAAAGCCCUGGGCUCAACCUGGGAUGUGCAUUCGAUACUGGAAGGCUGGAGUCUGGAAGAGGUUGGUGGAAUUCCCGGUGUAGCGGUGAAAUGCGUAGAGAUCGGGAGGAACAUCAGUGGCGAAGGCGGCUGACUGGUCCAAGACUGACGCUGAGGUACGAAAGCGUGGGGAGCAAACAGGAUUAGAUA